rnacentral:lncRNA from 1 species
GGGGGGGGGGGGGGGGGGGGGGGGGGGGCGUCUUGGGGAGCUCUCGCCCGGGAGUCAUUCAGUGUAGAACCGCCCCUGCUUCACGCGGAACCAGGUGUCCUGCACGCGGCAGCCGCGCCGGAGGUCGAGUAUAGCAUGGUGAACUGCAGGUGAGCGCGGGCCACCUGUACGCCGAUGACGUCAUUUCAAAAGUCCUUAAUCGAUUUGUUUGACUAUUUUUGGAAUUCAUAAUUUGCAAAACUAGCUAUUCAUAAACUAGCAAAAUAACAAAGUCAUUUUGGGGAAACUCUCUGAAGAAUACUUCAUAUAGCCUUUAGGCAUGGCGGUGAUGGUGUGAUGAUCGGGGCUUGGUUUGCAUCUACUUUCUCCACACAGCAGUCUGAGGAUUAGUCUGGUAGUUGAGACGGUUUCAGGUUCCCGCCGGUCUGAAGCUGCUCUGUCUUCAAGGCUGCAGGGGACGGUGUUCAGGAGGUUCUGCAGUGCUGCAGGUUAUGGCUGGGAUUACCCGGAGGCAGAAUUCAGAGACAUCCCACUGUGCUUCCCGGAAUUCCUGUGUUCCAAACUUCUGCUUUUGCUGCUGACUGAUGAAAACUUCAGGCUCAGUCCAGCAGGACUGGUCCGGGUGCGUCAGAGCCUGCAGACGCUUCAGCCCGUCGAUGAGCUGAAGAAGGGUCCGUUCUCACUGCAGGCCAGGGUUCUGGGGUAUCAGCAGACCCGCGCGGGCAGAGGUGGACAUCCGCCUGUCCGCCACCUCCCGCUCUGGAUCCACGGUGUGGGAAAGCGUGCUGACCUUCCUGUCUGAAGGCAGAGGGUCACUCCAGAAUGUAGACGAGAGGCGGCAGCAUCACGAUGAGCAAGCAUCUGGGAACGAGAAGCAGGUGGAGCUCCGAGCUCCCUGGACAGCUGGCUUCCAGAGCUCAUGGUCCUCCUCCAGCUGCUCCCCUCAGCAGAUGUUCUGUGUGGCAGCCAGGUUCCUCAGCCGCGGCUCAGGCCCGGCUUCAGGCCUCUGGAUGCUGUCUGUCUGUUUGGCUGAAAUAGAAAAGCACAAAGGUAUGACACCUGAGCGGUUGCUGAUGGAGCGUCCCGU